rnacentral:rRNA from 1 species
GACGAACGCUGGCGGCGUGCUUAACACAUGCAAGUCGAACGGAAAGGCCCUGCUUUUGUGGGGUGCUCGAGUGGCGAACGGGUGAGUAACACGUGAGUAACCUACCCUUGACUUUGGGAUAACUUCAGGAAACUGGGGCUAAUACCGGAUAGCAUAUCCUGCUGCAUGGUGGGGGUUGGAAAGUUUCGGCGGUUGGGGAUGGACUCGCGGCUUAUCGGCUUGUUGGUGGGGUAGUGGCUUACCAAGGCUUUGACGGGUACCCGGCCUGAGAGGGUGAACGGCCACAAUGGGACUGAGAUACGGAGCAGACUGCUAUGGGAGGCAGCAGUGGGGAAUAUUGCACAAUGGGCGGAAGCCUGAUGAAGCAACGCCGCGUGCGGGAUGACGGCUUGCGGGUUGUAAACAGCUUUCGCCUGUGACGAAGCGGGAGUGACGGUAAUGGGUAAAGAAGCACCGGCUAACUACGUG